GACGAACGCUGGCGGCGUGCCUAACACAUGCAAGUCGAACGGAAAGGGCCUGCUUUUGUGGGGUGCUCGCGUGGCGCACGGGUGUGUAACACGUGAGUAUCCCGCCCUUGGCUUUGGGAUAACUUCAGGCAACUGGGGCUAAUACCUGCUAGGAGCUCCUGCUGCAUGGGGGGGGUCGGAAAGUUUCGGCGGUUGGGGAUGGACUCGGGGCUUAUCAGCUUGUUGGUUGGGUAGUCGCUUACCAGGGGUUUGACGGAUAGCCGGCCUGGGAGGGUGAACAGGCACAAGGGGCCUGCGGGAGGGACCAGACGGGAACGGGAGACAGCAGGGGAAAGUAUGGCACAAUGAGCGGAAGUGUGAUACAGCGAUGCCGGGUGCGGGAUGACGGCUUUCGGGGGAGAAAGCGCAGUAGCCUGAGACGUAGCGGGAGUGACGGUACCGGGAAAAGAAGCACCGGCUAACUACGUG
rnacentral:rRNA from 1 species